rnacentral:lncRNA from 1 species
AAGGCUUGGAGGAGAGUGAGGUGGCGUUGGGUGAGGUUCCAGUGGGAGGGGUUGAGCGACGAAGAUCCGACGGUGGAGAUGUAAUGUGGCGGUUGAGGCGAGUGGGAGGAGAAAGAAGAGAUGAGUUUGGGAAGUGCGGUGGGUUUAGUGAAGGAGAGGUUAGGUUGUUGUAGUGAGAGAGUGUUGUUGAUGGUGGGUUUAGUGAAGGAGAGGUUAGGUUAGGUUAGAAAAACGGGUGGGUGGUUUGAAGGUUGAAAACGCAGGGAGGUUAGCAUCUCUGUGGAGUUUGGUGGUUGACACGGUGACGAAGAGUUUUCUCCACUGCUGAAACUGAAGCUUCCAUCUUCAUCUUCUCUUUACGUGUUGUGUGUGAGAUUCGGAGAUUGAAAUAAGCAGAAAAC